rnacentral:ncRNA from 1 species
CUAUUCAUUUAGGUGCCCAGAGCGACUUUCAAAUAAAUAAUUACUGGAGAUUAAAUGCUAGUCGAAACUUCUGCUUCAUUGCAGAAGUGUAUGCAACACUGCUUAAUUGCUGGAAGUUCCUAAGAGCUCAUUUGUACCAAGUCGAAGAAGGCAACUUUCUCGAUGGCUUAUAAUAAGAUUACGAUCUUAACUAUAAGGUAUGGUGAUAAUCAAAUGAGAUGUUACAAUGGAUAACCAGCAGCCAAGUCCUAAUCAUCAAGAUUAGUGAUGCCGUUCACAGACUAAAAUAGCAGUGGGUAACUAUUGAAUUAGUUAUCUAAGAGAUAGUCGGGCUGAUUGCUUACGAAAGCCGA